rnacentral:rRNA from 1 species
GACGAACGCUGGCGGCGUGCUUAACACAUGCAAGUCGAGCGGAGCGGCGAACGGGUGAGUAACGCGUUAGUGACUGCCCCCCUCUCUGGGAUAACAGUUGGAAACGGCUGCUAAUACCGGAUAGUGGGGGAUGAAUCGGGGCCUAUCAGCUUGUUGGUGGGGUAGUGGCCUACCAAGGCGACGCCGGGUAGCCGGCCUGGGAGGGCGACCGGCCACAUUGGGCUGAGAUACGGACCAAAGUGCUACGGGAGGCAGCAGGGGGGAAUAUUGCACAAUGGUGGAAACCGUGAGGCAGCAACGCGCGGGCGGGAUGACGGCCUUCGGGUUGUAAACCGCUUUCAGCCAUGACGCGGUAGUGGCAGAAGAAGCACCGGCUAACUACGUGCCAGCAGCCGCGGUAAUAC